rnacentral:rRNA from 1 species
UACAGGGGUGCAAGCGUUGUUCGGAAUUACUGGGCGUAAAGGGCGCGUAGGCGGUUUAGUAAGUCAGAUGUGAAAGCCCGGGGCUCAACCUCGGAAUUGCAUUUGAAACUGCUAGGCUAGAGUGCAGUAGAGGAUGGCGGAAUACCGUAGUGGAAGAGGUGAAAUUCGUAGAUAUUAGGUGGAACACCGGUGGCGAAGGCGGCCAUCUGGGCUGUAACUGACGCUGAGGCGCGAAGAGCGGUGGGGAGCAAACAGG